GUGUCAGCAGCCGCGGUAAUACGUAGGAUCCAAGCGUUAUCCGGAAUUACUGGGCGUAAAGCGUACGUAGGUGGAGAUUUAAGUGAGAUGCGAAAUCUGGCGGCUCAACCGUCUAGACUGUGUCUCAUACUGGGUUUCUUGAGGUUGGCAGAGGCAAGUGGAAUUUCCGGUGUAGCAGUGAAAUGCGUAGAGAUCGGAAGGAACACCAAUGGCGAAGGCAGCUUGCUGGGCCACACCUGACACUGAGGUACGAAAGCGUGGGGAGCGAACAGGAUUAGAUACCCCGGUAGUCC
rnacentral:rRNA from 1 species